AGAGACCUGAGAAUAAGGCUGCCUUCUCUAUGAGCUAGUGGGGGUGGAGGAAUCCACGACUGAAAUCAUACGUUGGUAAUUGGAAGGCAUUGUAAUACUGUUGUCAUAGUAACAAUGGACUGGAGUGUGAGACAACAGGGCUUUUGUCAAAAGUGACUACAGAAAAUGGUUUGGGACGCACUACCAUAGCAUACACAACUGCAGUGCUCCCUGGUGGACUUUGGCAGAAGGACACGAGGGAAAUGGAUAAAUUUCCAUAUGUGAAGGAUACCUCUUCACUGUGAGAGAUGCCUUUUGAAGAAAUCUGUCUGAGCUGUGUCACUCACCCAUGUGUACCCAACAAAGAAAGGUCUUGGAGUGCAAGGAACCUUGAAAUGAGUGGAUCAUUGAAGAUGCUAUAUGUUGACCUGAUUUGCCUUACAGACUGCUUGUGCUUUUCAAGGACUCUGAAAGCGGGGCUCCUAAUCUGUCACAUGGG